GAUGAACGCUAGCGGCAGGCUUAAUACAUGCAAGUCGUGGGGCAGCAGGUUUGUAGCAAUACAGAUGCUGGCGACCGGCAAACGGGUGCGGAACACGUACAGAACCUUCCUUUGAGCGGGGAAUAGCCCAGAGAAAUUUGGAUUAAUACCCCAUAGUAUAAUGAAGUGGCAUCACUUUAUUAUUAAAGAUUUAUCACUCGAAGAUGGCUGUGCGGCUGAUUAGGUAGUUGGCGGGGUAAAGGCCCACCAAGCCUGCGAUCAGUAACUGGUGUGAGAGCACGACCAGUCACACGGGCACUGAGACACGGGCCCGACUCCUACGGGAGGCAGCAGUAAGGAAUAUUGGUCAAAUGGAGGCAACUCUGAACCAGCCAUGCCGCGUGGAGGAUGAAGGUCCUCUGGAUUGUAAACUUCUUUUAUAUGGGACGAAAAAAGGACUUUCUAAGUCGUCUGACGGUACCAUAUGAAUAAAGCAACCGGGCUAAACUCCGUGCCAGCAGCCGCGGUAA
rnacentral:rRNA from 1 species